rnacentral:rRNA from 1 species
CCUACGGGAGGCAGCAGUAGGGAAUCUUCCACAAUGGGCGAAAGCCUGAUGGAGCAACGCCGCGUGGGUGAAGAAGGUCUUCGGAGCGUAAAACCCUGUUGUUAGGGAAGAAAGUGCGUGAGAGUAACUGUUCACGUUUCGACGGUAUCUAACCAGAAAGCCACGGCUAACUACGUGCCAGCAGCCGCGGUAAUACGUAGGUGGCAAGCGUUAUCCGGAUUUAUUGGGCGUAAAGGGAACGCAGGCGGUCUUUUAAGUCUGAUGUGAAAGCCUUCGGCUUAACCGGAGUAGUGCAUUGGAAACUGGGAGACUAGAGUGGAGAAGAGGAGAGUGGAACUCCAGGUGUAGCGGUGAAAUGCGUAGAUAUAGGGAAGAACACCAGUGGCGAAAGCGGCUCUCUGGUCUGUAACUGACGCUGAGGUUCGAAAGCGUGGGUAGCAAACAGGAUUAGAUACCCCUGUAGUC